UGGAUAUUUGAAUUUUGGCCCAUAAUUUUGGCUUUGAUUGUUGUAGUUGUGACAUCUGACAUGUGGUUUGUUAGGAAAUCUCGUUGUCUUAACAGCGAUUCCAUUAUGCACGUAAUUCACCCAGCCAGCAGAAAAUGGAUAUCUUUUUUAUUUGUUUUCGAGAAGCUGUCCCAACAGUAUUUCCGAAAACUUUGUUGACAAAUUUUUUUUUUAAUGAUAACCAUAUAUUCUUGAGAUAACCCAGGCCAAAAGGAUUUCUGUUUCAUAUUCACUGCCAGGAAACUGUCAGUCUUGACAAGUAUUUAUGAAUUAUUCCUAUUGAGAUUCUAUGUUUACUGUUUUUCGAUUAGAUGUCUGCAUGAUGACAAGAUAUUUAACAGGAAAGUUGCACUGCUAGAGGAUUUAAGCUUUAAAUCAAAGGAAGCCAAUUGUGAUUUAAUAUUCAAGACCUAGCAAGUUCUGAGCUUUGGGAUGGACUGAUACUGAAAAACUGCAGUACAAUAUGAGCUGAUGGGCUGAGACUGGAAAUCUGCAGUAUCAUGUUGUUGAUGACAGAUUAGCAUGUUGCUGAACUUACAAUCAUGAUGCAGAUUGUAUUUGUGUCGAACCGGUCAUAUCAACGCGCUCAUCGUUGACGGUUUUACGUGGUUGGAGACGGUACCAAACGUGUUGGUGUUGUUAAAGCCGGAUAGACGACCCCUACGAUGAUGAACCACAAAGUCGAUCCCCUAAUUACGCCCGAGCCUAGGACGUCCAGAGAAUGACACAACAACGUUCAAAUUGCUAAUGUCUCCAUCCAUGCACCCAUUUCUUUCCAGACUCGUAAACAAGGAGUCGGCUUCACUAGCAUUGACAGUGGCUAUCUAUGGAUGGACGACCAUGAAGUUAUUCUAACAGCCCUAUGGAAAAUAAGGAUUUAAUUGGUUUCAAACUGGGCUUGCUCAAGGAUUUUAUCCAUAUCGGAAACAUAAAUAACAUGAAUUAUUAGGUUUUCAUGGUAUGCCAUGUUUGGAUUUCACUUAGAAAUCCUACCAGAAGCUUUUCAAGUAUAACACCAAAGAAGGCUUGCACUGAUUAAUGUUUGAAGUAAGUUCCAUAAGCAAAAAUGUUUUGUGCUGAUUCUUUUUUCUUCUCUCUAGGUUAAUAUUCGUAAUAAAUCAAAAAUAAGGUUUCAGAAUGAGGCUGGAGUUUUUAUCAAUGCUGUCGUUUCGAAACACGAUCGGAAAUACCUAUGGAAUGAAAAACAUUCUCGCGUGUUAUGGUAUUAGUCGUAUAUAAAUUGAAGUGCAUAUCUGGGCUCCCUUCUUUUCUGUGGCCCCGUUUCCCCUUGACUCAUAAUAAGCCCGUAGGGGGUCAUGCCCCUACUGUACGGUAUAUAUAAAAAC